rnacentral:miRNA from 1 species
GGGACUAGGUGAUUUGGGGGCGGGGCGGAGGGAGCAAGUCCUUCCUCCGCCCCGCCCCCAAAUCAUCUAGUCCCAGUCUUUUCAU